CAGCUGCGCUGAAAUUCGCCAUUCUUACAAAAUAUAUUCCAGGCUACAAGACAGCCACCUCGCUUGAGAAAGGAGAGCACAGAAGCUGUGAGGCCCAGCGCUGGGGCAGGACUCUUGAGCUCCUUUCUGCUCUUUGGGGCCUGUGAGUGUGGUGGCAGCAGGGGAACAGGACUGCAGAACCCCAGCCCUGCGAACACCGCUGCAGCAAGGACGUGUAAGUGCUGCGUGGCUGGAGAAAUGUGCUGUGUGGUCUCCAUACAAAUGUAGGAAUUUCUCAUUUAAAAUGAAAUUUCAAGGUAGUUUAAGGAGCGAGGAUAUCCCUGAAAAAGACAGCUGUGCUCCCUCGUCCUUCAGGAACAAACAAGACAAUAGAACCCCACACAGGGACAGUGAAAAACAUUUUAUAUUGCCACGGUUUCUUCUUUUUUGCUGGUUGAAUAAUGCCGCCAAAACUGCUUGUCCGAUACAUUCUUUUUUCUUUACCUCUGUGCUUGCUUCUUAUCUCUUCAGUUUCGAUUUACUUCAGCUUUGCUACUGCUUUUUACGAGUAAGCAAUCUCUUUCAAGGCCUGAGGGCAGAGAAGGCGUGAACUCUUCACAGAGCAGAGAAUGGGUGAUACUGUCAUGCCAAGUGCAUGACAACGUGAACUAUAAUUGAGCCAUCAAUAAAACUGUGGAAGUGACUAUUUGUAGCUUGUCCUGCAAACAGAAAUUAAAGAAAAAAGGCAUUAUGUUCUGAGUUGCAGUAGCAGUCCUACAAGUUUAUUUUGUAAUGCCAGAUGGAAGAUUUUCCUACUAAGAAUUGUAAAAUGAACAUGUGAAGAGAAGGACUUUCAAAACUGCCUUUGGAACCAGUUGGUCAUAAGUGUUUUUCUCUAGUUCUCUAACUUCACAUUC